GUAUAUAUGACUUGUAUUGAUCAAAGACCAAUUUGGAUACACACAUUCAUAAGACUAUCAAAGAGUUUGUGUAAGACAUAGGGCUACAAAGUUGAAAGCAAGCAAAACAAACAAAAUGAAUGAAUGCAUAAAGCCUUCUAAACCUUAUCAUAGCCUACAAUAGGGUGCACAGUGGAGAGUUAGAAAAAGCGAUAUAGCGAGCACAUACUCCUAAGGGAGUCAGCUCAACUAACUACGCAUUUCUUCAGUAAUGAUCCUUCCGCAGGUUCACCUACGGAAA
rnacentral:misc_RNA from 1 species